GAUGAACGCUGGCGGCGUGCCUAAUACAUGCAAGUCGAGCGAACGGACGAGAAGCUUGCUUCUCUGAUGUUAGCGGCGGACGGGUGAGUAACACGUGGAUAACCUACCUAUAAGACUGGGAUAACUUCGGGAAACCGUAGCUAAUACCGGAUAAUAUUUUGAACCGCAUGGUUCAAAAGUGAAAGACGGUCUUGCUGUCACUUAUAGAUGGAUCCGCGCUGCAUUAGCUAGUUGGUAAGGUAACGGCUUACCAAGGCAACGAUGCAUAGCCGACCUGAGAGGGGGAUCGGGCACACUGGAACUGAGACACGGUCCAGACUCCUACGGGAGGCAGCAGUAGGGAAUCUUCCGCAAUGGGCGAAAGCCUGACGGAGCAACGCCGCGUGAGUGAUGAAGGUCUUCGGAUCGUAAAACUCUGUUAAUAGGGAAGAACAUAUGUGGAAGUAACUGUGCACAUCUUGAAGGUACCUAAUCAGAAAGCCACGGCUAACUAAGUG
rnacentral:rRNA from 1 species